rnacentral:tRNA from 1 species
GGCUACCUGGCGCAAUGGUAGCGCGUUUGGCUUCGACGGCUCAACGGCACUUGCGAUAGGCACCAAAAGGUUGCAGGUUCGAGUCCUGCGGUGGUCA